ACGGAGGAUCCAAGCGUUAUCCGGAUUUAUUGGGUUUAAAGGGUGCGUAGGCGGCGUGUUAAGUCAGAGGUGAAAUUCGGCAGCUCAACUGUCAAAUUGCCUUUGAUACUGGCAUGCUUGAAUGCGAUUGAGGUAGGCGGAAUGUGACAUGUAGCGGUGAAAUGCUUAGAUAUGUGACAGAACACCGAUUGCGAAGGCAGCUUACCAAGUCGUUAUUGACGCUGAGGCACGAAAGCGUGGGGAGCAAACAGGAUUAGAUACCCUGGUAGUCCACGCUGUAAACGAUGAUAACUCGACGUUAGCGAUACACUGUUAGCGUCCAAGCGAAAGCGUUAAGUUAUCCACCUGGGAAGUACGAUCGCAAGGUUG
rnacentral:rRNA from 1 species